rnacentral:lncRNA from 1 species
UUGUGGAUUGAUUGAUUCUAGAAUGAAGAGGUUUUGAGCCUUAAAUGGAAUUUGGGGUUGGUUGUUCAGAAUGACAUUUCUGCCCUUGGGCUAUUUUCUGCCCUCAUGUGAUCGCGGAAGAUUGGUCGUGAUUGCGCUCACCAUGAUCAGGGUUAGUCCUUCGCGAUUGCAGUUGGUUGACUAACUUGACUAAACGCGAUUGCGGGUUAAUGCCUGCGAUCAUAAUAACUGAGGGCUCGAUCCUCAUCCUACUUC